UACGUAGGGUGCGAGCGUUAAUCGGAUUUACUGGGCGUAAAGCGUGCGCAGGCGGUUUGUUAAGCGAGAUGUGAAAGCCCCGGGCUCAACCUGGGAACCGCAUUUCGAACUGGCAAACUAGAGUCUUGUAGAGGGGGGUAGAAUUCCAGGUGUAGCGGUGAAAUGCGUAGAUAUCGGGAGGAACACCAGUAGCGAAGGCGGCCAUCUGGCUGGUAACUGACGCUGAGGUGCGAGAGCGUGGGGAGCAAACAGG
rnacentral:rRNA from 1 species